rnacentral:rRNA from 1 species
AACGAACGCUGGCGGCAUGCCUAACACAUGCAAGUCGAACGAAGCCUUCGGGCUUAGUGGCGCACGGGUGCGUAACGCGUGGGAAUCUGCCCUUGGGUUCGGAAUAACAGUUAGAAAUGACUGCUAACACCGGAUGAUGUCUUCGGACCAAAGAUUUAUCGCCCAAGGAUGAGCCCGCGUAGGAUUAGGUAGUUGGUGGGGUAAUGGCCCACCUAGCCGACGAUCCUUAGCUGGUCUGAGAGGAUGAUCAGCCACACUGGGACUGAGACACGGCCCAGACUCCUACGGGAGGCAGCAGUGGGGAAUAUUGGACAAUGGGCGAAAGCCUGAUCCAGCAAUGCCGCGUGAGUGAUGAAGGCCUUAGGGUUGUAAAGCUCUUUUACCAGGGAUGAUAAUGACAGUACCUGGAGAAUAAGCUCCGGCUAACUCCGUGCCAGCCGCCGCAGUAA